rnacentral:rRNA from 1 species
GAUGAACGCUAGCGGCAGGCCUAACACAUGCAAGUCGAGGGAGAAGCCCUUUCGGGGGCGGACACCGGCGCACGGGUGCGUAACGCGUAUGCAACCUACCUUUCACAGGGGGAUAGCCGGAAGCAAUUUGGAGUAAUACCCCAUAAUAUUAUUGGAUGUCAUCAUUUGAUAAUUCAAACUGCGGUGGUGAAAGAUGGGCAUGCGUCCUAUUAGCUGGUUGGAGUGGUAACGGCACCCCAAGGCGACGAUAGGUAGGGGUCGUGAGAGGGAGAUCCCCCACACUGGUACUGAGACAGGGACCAGACUCCUACGGGAGGCAGCAGUGAGGAAUAUUGGUCAAUGGUCGGAAGACUGAACCAGCCAUGCCGCGUGCAGGAAGAAUGCCUUAUGGGUUGUAAACUGCUUUUAUAUGGGAAGAAUAAGGCGUACGUGUACGUUGAUGACGGUACCAUAUGAAUAAGCAUCGGCUAACUCCGUG